GAGCACUUCAUGUGUUUUCAGAGCCUGGGUUUGUUUUCCUCCUGCACUUUUCAUAGCGGUGUUGAAGCUGUGCUGUCAAGGGAUCAGUGAGGGCUUAUGAACUCAGUGGCAAAGGCAGGCAAGUAGAAUGCGGUGAUUUUAUUCUUUUUUUUUUUUUCAUCCUCCUGCCUUGACAUCACUGCAUCAGCUUCUCUCAGAUCCACAUUUGCCUGCAUUCCUGUGGAAACCAUAUCACAAGAAUAACUGAAGCACUUGUAAGUGACUUGCACAAAGAGUUGACUCAGAACUCAGGUCAGUCUUCCGCUCUCAUUGUUGCACUUUGCUCCAUCCUCCUCCCUACCAGCUCAUGGAGUCUCUCUUGUUUUUCCUUGGCUAUCUAUUUCACUACAACAGUUGGCUGAAGAACCAGGAAGCUGUUUCUUAGCUUAAUUUAUACUUUUGUUUCCAUUCUGCAGUAGUUACUUGGUCUCCUUGAAGUUUCAAACUGAGAAUACUUGGAGAGCUCUCAACUUGGUGAUGUUAGUCUUUCCAAAGCUCUCACAGUAAUCCAUAAAUAUAGUGGUUCUAAAUAUUCGUAAGUGGAAAGAAAGAGUCUGAAGAUCUUGAAGUGGCUCUCAGGGUCAAGUUGAUGAGAUCUAACGCUGCCAGCCCUGAGAUUUCCUUUCCACACCCCCUCCCCAGAAGAAAAGCUCUUCUUGGACCUUGUGAAUAACCCCAGAAAACUACUAUGUCCUGCCAUGCUCUUUAUCACUGGAUGACAAAAGAGGAUUAUGACUAUUGUUAGGCAUUGAUUUUACUUUUCACCAAGCAAAAUCUCCAAUAAGCUAUACUUGGAAGAAUCGUUUGGGCUGAGUAAUCUCCUUGUCACACACUUGCUGCAAACAGAUGGAUUACUUUUGAUGUACGGUGGUAAAAUACUUCUCUCAUUUGGAGUCUUGCAAGAUGUACUUGUGCAGAUAAUGAAAGACAACACAUUAUUUCAAGAGUACUAGAGAUGCCUCUGUUAUCUAUGGAUAAAUCAGUGCUGAUAAGAGCAACAGAGUUCCAGUCCAAGGAAAUAUUCAAUUACAUGAGAUUUUCAUUUGUCAAUACAUUCCGACAGAUCCUUUUUGUAUGCCAAUAUCUUUUCAAAAGGGGAUUGGACAAUACUGACAACAUAAAUGAUUCUAAAUCCUUUUUCUGAUUUAUAUUCUGUAUUUGGUCGACUGUAAGUCUUGUAAAUUUGGGAAGUUCUGCUUCUGCUAAUUUUAGAAAUGUAUUUGUACAACGUUUGUUUUUCAGGUUGUUAGUAUAGGAUAUUAAAACAUGGUUGUUAAUCUGCCUGGGAGAUCUCUACAUAGAGUGUAUUUGGGUGAGGAACGUGAUAUGAUCCUUGCUCUUGGCCCCAGAGCAACCAGUCAUCUGUCAGUGUCGUGCCUACCUGUCCCACUGCUGUGUAACUCCUCCUUCCCAGAGACUGUUCCUCAGCCCCACAAGAACAUUGCUGUGCAUAGUGACGUGGAAAUUAGAACCACAGAUGACAGACAGCCUGAUGGGGACGUUAGCUGCUGAGCUCAAAGCGAAAGGGUGUUUUCACCUGGAUAAGCUGGAAAUGCUUUGGGGUUUAGUUGACAGCCAACAGAAAUUUGUAAAUAACAUACAAAAUUUUCCACACAGGUAUUUUAAGAGAAGACUAAGUGAUGUAAGCAUAUGAGAUAAAAGCAAUUUUGGAUCACAUGGGUGAAAAACAGCAUGAAAGCAAAGGAAAAUUGUCAAUGCUUUGGUAAUGAAAGCUUUUUAGAUGUGUUGAAUAAUUCAGUGUAGAGUCAAAAGUAUUCCACAGACAUAACAUAGCAGAUGUUGAUACAUCUAUAGAGUAUCUGUGAAUAUUUCCACACAGAAUGAUGCUCUCAGAUUCAACCUCAUAAUCUGCACAGCCAGGUGUUAUCACUCUCCUAAUCUCUCCAUUGCUAAAAGGCACCACAUGACUGGGUUCACUAGUGAGAUGUGGAUGUAUGUCUCACCCUGUCUCACUGCUCAGGCAAGCAAACUUGUGUGUACUUUGCAUAACAGCAGCACAAAGACUGUCCCGACAGCAAAACACAACACUGUUUUGUUCCCAGAUGUUACAAAAGAAUGCCGAAAGGCUUUUCUUGCUUAAGAAUAAUGCUCAGCAUGCUAGGUUUUGUUUUAGAUGCAAAAGAUUUGCCCACUCUUCUGGAUUUGGUUUUAAACAGACCCUUAGCUUCACUGUACAAGAAAAAGUAUUCAUUUUGUCUGAGGAGGUGUCCUCCUGUCAUUUUGAUUUAUUUUGUGGUGAAAAUUCCUCUUCCAUUUGUCAUAAUAUCUUUACUGCUCUCCGAUCAAUGAAUGUAGUUUGUGUGCUACUUGAAAGGAUCUGUGUUUCUCUCUUUGUAUCUCUACUCAAGGACAUAUUGCCUAUUAUACUUGCUUUUAGAUGACUUUUUUUUUUCUAGCUGCAUGUGUAAGUCCAGCAAAAUUAAGGAGGCUACAUAUUUGACAGGUAAAAUAUUAUGCUAGUCAAUAUUUGGUAAUAUUAAUAUCCUGAGGGGUAACUGUAUGACUCUUUCAGCAGUGUAGAAUCAUACUACUACUUGCUUACUACUGCAAAUGGAAAUCCUGUGUUUUUGAUGUAAAAUUUUAUCAUUGCUAAGAGGAGGUAAAGAAAGUUUUCUUCUUCUGGGAAUCACUUUCAGCUACUUAUGCAAAAUACAAUACAUAUUAGGAAAAUAUAAUUACAAUGUUUCCUACUGACUUUUUCAAUAAAUCUCUAUUUUCAGGGGAAAACAAACAAACAAACAAACAAUAACAACAACAAAAAACCCGCACCCCUAUAACAUAUUUCAGUUAAGGUUUAAGUUAUCAUUUCAGGUUUGCAAGUAAAGAUAAAAUUCAGAAUAUCAUGAGCAAAAGAUACAUAUAUAAGAUGGAGAGCCUUGGAGCCUGGGCAUCUGACAGUGCCAGCAGAAGUGCCAUAGCCAGGAUGCUCCCCAGGGAGCUGCAGCAGAGCAAUCCUGCAAAGAACACCCAGCACAUAGAAGACUAGCAUGUCUGAUCUGGUUGAUGGAGACAGCAGACUGGAAAUCAUUGCUUACCCUAGGAAACUAGUCAGCUAAAAUGAUUGACAGAGUAAUUAAGUGAUGCUACAUUUGCAGAACUAUUCUCACUUGCUUCAUUAAUCAGCGGUGGAACUCAGUUUUCCCAUUUCACUUAUUAGUUAUACAGUUGUGGUGGAGGUGAAUUAUUAGGCUCUAUAGUUUGUCUUCUAGGAUGUAAAUAUUUUGAAAUUUUGUGGUGAGAAUCUAUGUUCAAGUUUGUUUGGGCGGUACGUGCUAGUUUGGGAAAUAUAUCCUUUAAACAGAUAGAAACUUCACCAAAAUCAGAAACAUAUGUAGUUUUUUUGCCCCAAGCUAACCAUCUGUCUGGGGGGGAGAUGUGUGUGUAUUUCAUAAAUUUUCACUAGAUAUUAUAAUUGAUUUCCUUCAGAUAUGUUUAAAACAUUUUCUUCUUCUCUGUAAACAUGCCUGUAACAACAAAGUUUCUGGUGAGAUAGCUGUUUGCUCAAAACCUAGAAGUUUAAAAAAAAAAUUAUCCUCCACUGGAAUCUUAAAGCAAAAGUAUAUGUGUAUACUUCAUCCUGAAAAUAUUGUGCUGUGUUCAUUAGAAUUUGACUGACAUUAGAAUUAAAAAGUGAAUCCCAAUAUAUGCUUGGGGAAGAUGUACCUGUACCACCAAGAAACAGACACAAAAAGAACAUCUAUCUUUUUAGUGAGGCCAGAAUACUUGGAUAUAACAAAGUAGAACUAAGACUAAGACAAAGGCUUUCUGCUCUUUUUCUUAAAAUUAAUAAAAAUAUAUUGACUCUCUGUUUUAAUUUGUCUGGAAGUUUCAAAGCCUCAACGUUGAAAGAAAAGCUGUGCUGAAGAGCUUUGGGAUAGGAUUAAUUUAUUCCUGGCAGAGUUUACAACUUCUAUUUCUUUUGCUAAAAAGUGAUGUUUAAGACUGUUCAUAUGCUUUUGUUCCCAUUCUUUCUCCAUUAAGAUGUGAUAGAAUCAUAGUAUCAUAGAAUUGAUCUAGGUUGGAAAAGACCUUAAAGAUCAUCAUAAAGUGAUACAUUAGUUUUGGCAACUUAAUCACCAAAAUCUUAUUUUUGUUUUAUUAAGUUUCAGGUCACAUUGGCAGUCCUUCUUCAAUGAAAAAGUUCUGGUUUGUUUGCCUCUUAUGGCAUAUGCUUUUCUCUCUCUCUCUUUUUUUUCUUUUCUUUUUCUGGAAUAACACACAAGUCAAAGUUUCCAUUCACAUACUAACUAAUAAUGUAUUGCAAAGAAAUUGGGAAGAGCUGUUGACUCCCUUGAGGGCAGAGAGGACUCAGGAAUUAGAGGACUGGGCAGCCACUACCUUGAGGAAUUGGAGGACUGGGCAAUGACCAAUUACAAGAGGAUUAAAAAGACCAAGUGCUGGAUUCUGCUCCAGCAGGACAGGUCAGGGGUGAGUAUUUGUACAGACUGGAGUACAAGAGGCUGGAGAGCAGCCCUGUGGAAUGAGUCUUGGGUUCUGGCUGAUGGCAAGUUGAAUGUGAGCCAGCAGCAUGCCCUGGCAGCCUACAGGGCCAACUGUACCCUGGGGUGCAUCAGGCCCAGCACUGCCACCAGGUGGGGGAGGGGUUGUCCUGCUCUGCUCUGUGCUGUGAGACCUCAUCUCCUGCACUGGGAGCAGCUGUGGGUGCCACAACGUAAGAAGGAAAUAAAACUGUCAAAGAGUGUCCAAACGAGGGCUGCAAAAAUGGGAAAGGGUCUGGAGGACAAGGUGUGUGAGGAAGAACAGCUGAGGGGUCCCCUGUUUUGUUCAGCCCAGAGCAGAGGAGGCUGAGGGGACAUCUCAUGGUGGCCUGCAGCUCCUCACGAGGGAAGUCAAGGGGCAGCCCUGAGCUUUGCUCUCUGGUGACUUGUCUGGACACCUACCUGUGUGAUCUAUUGUAGAGAAUCUGCUUUAGCAUAGGAGUUGGACUCGAUGAUUUCUUGAGGUCCCUUCCAACCGCUGUGAUCCUGUGAUCUGAUCAUUUAAAUAUGCCAACACUGGCAGAUACAUUGCUAGUAAUGUGACUUCAUUGGGCUAAAUGGACAAUGACACCCAUUUGCACUUUAAAACUCAACUUUGUGCAUUGCUUCCUAUCCAAACAACCCACCAAAAGACUGUGGAGGUACAGUGACAGGCUGACAGAGUUAGCUGUACCUUUUCUGCAUUGGGAAGGAGAUAAGAGCAGAUAAUGGGCUUCCAAGAGAAACAGGA